rnacentral:rRNA from 1 species
ACCCGCUGAACUUAAGCAUAUCAAUAAGCGGAGGAAAAGAAACUAACAAGGAUUCCCCUAGUAACUGCGAGUGAAGCGGGAAAAGCUCAAAUUUAAAAUCUGGCGGUUUCACCGUCCGAGUUGUAAUCUAGAGAAGCGUCUUCCGCGUUGGACCGUGUACAAGUCUCUUGGAAUAGAGCGUCAUAGAGGGUGAGAAUCCCGUCUUUGACACGGACUACCAGUGCUUUUGUGAUGCGCUCUCGACGAGUCGAGUUGUUUGGGAAUGCAGCUCAAAAUGGGUGGUAAAUUCCAUCUAAAGCUAAAUAUUGGGGAGAGACCGAUAGCGAACAAGUACCGUGAGGGAAAGAUGAAAAGAACUUUGGAAAGAGAGUUAAACAGUACGUGAAAUUGUUGAAAGGGAAACGCUUGAAGUCAGUCGCGUCCUUUGAGACUCAGCCUUGCUUCUGCUUGGUGUAUUUCUCGUUGGACGGGUCAACAUCAGUUUUGACCGUUGGAAAAAGGCUGGAGGAAUGUGGCUUCUCCGGAAGUGUUAUAGCCUCUAGUCGUAUACGACGGUUGGGACUGAGGAACUCAGCACGCCGCAAGGCCGGGGUUUUACCCACGUACGUGCUUAGGAUGUUGGCAUAAUGGCUUUAAUCGACCCGUCUUGAAACACGG